GGAAAGGCGCGCGAUACAGGGUGACAGCCCCGUACACAAAAAUGCACAUGCUGUGAGCUCGAUGAGUAGGGCGGGACACGUGGUAUCCUGUCUGAAUAUGGGGGGACCAUCCUCCAAGGCUAAAUACUCCUGACUGACCGAUAGUGAACCAGUACCGUGAGGGAAAGGCGAAAAGAACCCCGGCGAGGGGAGUGAAAAAGAACCUGAAACCGUGUACGUACAAGCAGUGGGAGCACGCUUAGGCGUGUGACUGCGUACCUUUUGUAUAAUGGGUCAGCGACUUAUAUUCUGUAGCAAGGUUAACCGAAUAGGGGAGCCGAAGGGAAACCGAGUCUUAACUGGGCGUUAAGUUGCAGGGUAUAGACCCGAAACCCGGUGAUCUAGCCAUGGGCAGGUUGAAGGUUGGGUAACACUAACUGGAGGACCGAACCGACUAAUGUUGAAAAAUUAGCGGAUGACUUGUGGCUGGGGGUGAAAGGCCAAUCAAACCGGGAGAUAGCUGGUUCUCCCCGAAAGCUAUUUAGGUAGCGCCUCGUGAAUUCAUCUCCGGGGGUAGAGCACUGUUUCGGCAAGGGGGUCAUCCCGACUUACCAACCCGAUGCAAACUGCGAAUACCGGAGAAUGUUAUCACGGGAGACACACGGCGGGUGCUAACGUCCGUCGUGAAGAGGGAAACAACCCAGACCGCCAGCUAAGGUCCCAAAGUCAUGGUUAAGUGGGAAACGAUGUGGGAAGGCCCAGACAGCCAGGAUGUUGGCUUAGAAGCAGCCAUCAUUUAAAGAAAGCGUAAUAGCUCACUGGUCGAGUCGGCCUGCGCGGAAGAUGUAACGGGGCUAAACCAUGCACCGAAGCUGCGGCAGCGACGCUGAUGCGUUGUUGGGUAGGGGAGCGUUCUGUAAGCCUGCGAAGGUGUGCUGUGAGG
rnacentral:rRNA from 1 species